rnacentral:rRNA from 1 species
CCGGCGCACGGGUGAGUAACGCGUAUGUAAUCUACCUGUAACAGAGGGAUAACCCGGAGAAAUCCGGACUAAUACCUCAUAGCACAUAUUAUUCGCAUGAAUUUUAUGUUAAAGAGACUCGGUUACAGAUGAACAUGCGUUCCAUUAGCUAGUUGGCGGGGUAACGGCCCACCAAGGCAACGAUGGGUAGCCGGUCUGAGAGGAUGACCGGCCACACUGGAACUGGAACACGGUCCAG